UACGUAGGGUGCGAGCGUUGUCCGGAUUUAUUGGGCGUAAAGGGCUCGUAGGCGGCGUGUCGCGUCGGGAGUGAAAGCCCGUUGCUUAACGGCGGGUUGGCUUUCGGUACGGGCAUGCUGGAGUGCGGCAGGGGAGACUGGAAUUCCUGGUGUAGCGGUGGAAUGCGCAGAUAUCAGGAGGAACACCGGUGGCGAAGGCGGGUCUCUAGUACGGUACUGACGCUGAGACGCGAAAGCGUGGGGAGCGAACAGG
rnacentral:rRNA from 1 species